AUUGAACGCUGGCGGCAUGCUUUACACAUGCAAGUCGAACGGCAGCACGAAGGAGCUUGCUCUUUUGGUGGCGAGUGGCGAACGGGUGAGUAAUGCAUCGGAACGUACCGAGUAAUGGGGGAUAACUGUCCGAAAGGAUAGCUAAUACCGCAUACGCUUUGAGAAGGAAAGUGGGGGCUCUUCGGACCUCACGUUAUUCGAGCGGCCGAUGUCUGAUUAGCUAGUUGGUGGGGUAAAGGCCUACCAAGGCGACGAUCAGUAGCGGGUCUGAGAGGAUGAUCCGCCACACUGGGACUGAGACACGGCCCAGACUCCUACGGGAGGCAGCAGUGGGGAAUUUUGGACAAUGGGCGCAAGCCUGAUCCAGCCAUGCCGCGUGUCUGAAGAAGGCCUUCGGGUUGUAAAGGACUUUUGUUAGGGAAGAAAAGGAUAGUGUUAAUACCAUGAUCUGCUGACGGUACCUAAAGAAUAAGCACCGGCUAACUACGUG
rnacentral:rRNA from 1 species